rnacentral:rRNA from 1 species
CCUACGGGAGGCAGCAGUGGGGAAUAUUGGACAAUGGGCGAAAGCCUGAUCCAGCAAUGCCGCGUGAGUGAUGAAGGCCUUAGGGUUGUAAAGCUCUUUUACCAGGGAUGAUAAUGACAGUACCUGGAGAAUAAGCUCCGGCUAACUCCGUGCCAGCAGCCGCGGUAAUACGGAGGGAGCUAGCGUUGUUCGGAAUUACUGGGCGUAAAGCGUACGUAGGCGGUUAUUCAAGUCAGAGGUGAAAGCCUGGAGCUCAACUCCAGAACUGCCUUUGAAACUAGAUAGCUAGAAUCUUGGAGAGGUGAGUGGAAUUCCGAGUGUAGAGGUGAAAUUCGUAGAUAUUCGGAAGAACACCAGUGGCGAAGGCGACUCACUGGACAAGUAUUGACGCUGAGGUACGAAAGCGUGGGGAGCAAACAGGAUUAGAUACCCUGGUAGUCCACGCCGUAAACGAUGAUAACUAGCUGUUCGGGCUCUACGAGCUUGAGUGGCGCAGCUAACGCAUUAAGUUAUCCGCCUGGGGAGUACGGUCGCAAGAUUAAAACUCAAAAUGAAGUUGACCGGNGUGAGAGCGACGACGACGACGACGAGGGAGAG